rnacentral:rRNA from 1 species
UGCUCGAGUGGCGAACGGGUGAGUAACACGUGAGUAACCUGCCCUUGACUUUGGGAUAACUUCAGGAGACUGGGGCUAAUACCGGAUAGGAGCUCCUGCUGCAUGGUGGGGGUUGGAAAGUUUCGGCGGUUGGGGAUGGACUCGCGGCUUAUCAGCUUGUUGGUGGGGUAGUGGCUUACCAAGGCUUUGACGGGUAGCCGGCCUGAGAGGGUGACCGGCCACAUUGGGACUGAGAUACGGCCCAG